UACGUAGGGUGCAAGGCGUUAUCCGGAAUUAUUGGUGCGUAAAGAGCUCGUAGGCGGUUUGUCGCGUCUGCUGUGAAAACUGGGGGCUCAACCCCCAGCCUGCAGUGGGUACGGGCAGACUAGAGUGCGGUAGGGGAGAUUGGAAUUCCUGGUGUAGCGGUGGAAUGCGCAGAUAUCAGGAGGAACACCGAUGGCGAAGGCAGAUCUCUGGGCCGUAACUGACGCUGAGGAGCGAAAGCAUGGGGAGCGAACAGG
rnacentral:rRNA from 1 species